CAUGUUAUAAUGUGAUUGACCCAGCUAUAUGUAAUUGCUGCUCUUUAAAGAACACAGCAAUGCAUUUCGUACAUGUGGCUGAUAUUAUGAUGUAUUGUAGGGGUGGGGAAAUUGUAGCCCUACAGGCAUAGCUGGACUACAGUUCCCAUCAUCCCUGACAAUUCUUCAUGCUGAUUGGAGCAGAUGGGAGCAUGACAUAUUCCCCAGCCAAUGCCAUCGGAAGGCCUGCAGGUUCCCUCUAACAUUUGGGCCUACAGAAAGAGCUAGCAAGCAAAGAGUGGUGAUGGAAGAACUUUACCUGGUUUGAAUGUCUCAGAAAUCAGCAGAGAUCUGUUUCUCCUAAAAGGAUGGAUUAGAGAUGGAGUACUAGUUUUGGGAAGGGGUAUCAGCUGGGUGGAAGAGGAUAGGAAGGGAAUUCAUUUCCUCUCUAGCUCAAGCCAGUCUGCAUUUGAGGAGAGCAUUAUGAGCCUUUAAUAUGCAUAUCCCAGAGGCCAGAAAAUAUGUGUUGUGGGGGAGGCUGUUGUUCUGCUAUAGAUCUCAUGCUUUGUCUGCAAAAGGUCCCAGGUUCAAUCCCUGGGCAUCUUCAGAUAUCAGGUUCAGGUGAUGGGAAAGACAUUUGCUGAGAACUUAGCUCUGUUGAGAAGAACACUUUUAUUUUCUAUCAACACACAAGCAGUGAGUGGGGCUGCACCAUAGACUCAUAGAGUUGUAGAGAUGGAAGGAACAUACCGAGAGUAUAUUCCUGAUCGGCAACUAGAUGGGAGCAGCCCUGAAAGUGAGAGAACGUCAUCAAAUGCCACUGCUCCAGGGAGACUCGUGGCAUGAUUUUAGAAUAUUAAAAUUUUGUGAUAGAAAUGAGACCUCCCAUGUCAACUGCUCCAGGUUCUUGGGUUCUGGAUUACUAUUUCUUUCAAAUGUCAAAGACAGUAAUGUAUUUUUCAGGAUUGGAAGCAGCGAUGCAGCCCUCAGACUGCGUCCUAAAAGAAUCUGCUGGACUGCAGAUUCUGAAAUGGACUCAACAUGCCAUCUGGGUCACAAGUCUGCAAUCUGAGUUUGUUGGGGUCUUCUGCCCACUCUAUCUCUUGAGUGCAUUUUCCAAGGGCUGAUCGGUUAUGAAUUUCCAAGACUAUUCUAGGUAUGAUAUGGGGAUUCAGAUUCAAGAUCCAAAUUGGUGGAGUAUACAUGACUGCCCUAUUUAUUUAUUUCCUGAAAAAUUGUGUUCCGUGAUGUUCAUGCUACAGUAGGUUACGUUUAAUCUUUCUUGGCGAAACAGACUCAAGGAAAUGCUUUCUUGUCAGAUUUAUGAUGUUCUGUAAGCAGGAUGCUAACAAAUUUAUUUAGCUGUUAGGUGGAAUAGUUUAUUAAAAGAUUAACUUUCAUGAACAUAGAAGCAAACAGUUUGCUAUCACCAAGAAGACAGGGUGCUUACAAAAUAGGACACAAAAGCACAGCCAACUCUGAACAAAAGACAUUUAUUACACAAAUGUCCUGUGUAUCUGGAGGGGGAGAGGCUUGCGGACAAGUGGCAGGUCAUAUGGACAAGCGGGGAUUAGGGAAACACCCUUCAGUAAUUGGUUCCAGAGCGUUUAGAUAUUAAAGUGCUGGUUCCCACAAUGACAUCUGUUGUAUAAGCAUGUCUUUGCAAUGGAAUAGGCCAUUCCCUUGGGUUAAUAUUAUUGAUUUUUAGAUGAAUUGUAGACCAAAUAAUUAUCAAAGAUGGGAUGAUUCCCUUGGCCUCAGACAGCCUGUAGCUUAGUAACUGCAAUUAGACUGCAUUUAUCCCACAUGCUGAGUUCUUAUAACUUGCCAAUGCGAGACAAAAUAGGAGCUUGGUGCUUUUGAAAAAUCCAGCCAUGGAUUCUGAUUCCUAAAUGAGUGCUGGCUUCUUGCUGUACAAUCUGCUGGGCAUUUUAAAAGUGAAUAUCUGUUCUAUAAUACUUUUUUAUAUAUAAGGCAACUGGCAAAGUAAAGUCUCUCUCUGUGUGUGUGUAAAUAAAAAUGUGGGGUUGUGAAUAAUUUUGGAAGAUGAGUAAUUAAGUUUUGGGGGAUGGCUGUUUCUUUAGGUUCAGUGAUUAUUGAAAAGAAAACUCAGUGCUCAGUGAACUUUCAUGCAGAAAAUACUAUUGAGCAAAUCUGUCAUACAGGAAUAGUUUUGAUGGGAAAGUAGUUGAGACCUUAAAGCUGAACUUUCUUCAGUGGGAGUUUGCAGAUGUGCAGAUGUCAUUAUAAACUUUAUAGCAGAUACAUGAAUAAGUUAUCCACAAAACAAGAGCUCUGUAAAAGACUAAGGGACAUCAAAGUGGAGCAGAGAGAGAAUCCAUUUGUGGCCAUCACAACUACAAUCAAGAGAACCAGAGAUCUUUUUAAAGGAUACUUUGUUUCACUUUGCUGCAAUUCUAGAGCGAGCAAAGUAGACAUCUUGCUGAGCAGCCAAAACAAGUGCUUUGCUGAAACCCAUCUCCUAAAUUCUUGAAAGUUUUCUUCUGGAAAAUAUACUUCCAUAUUUAUUCAUUUUUGCAUCUUCCACUGAGAUCUUUUAAAUGUCAGUCGAUGUGGGGUUGUGUCCCCCACCCCCAUUAAACACUUCCCUAGCACUCUGCAGUCUCUCCUACGGCCUGCACUGCCUGCACUUCCUGAUCUAAAACAGCCCCAUGAGAUACCGGUAAGUUAUCCCAUGACAUCUUCCUCUGAGCUUUAACUGCAGCAUAAGAGGUCCUUGGAAGCUGGCUACAAAGCACCUCAGAUUGGUGCAGUUGCUGGCUUUGUUUUUAAAAGAAGCCCUACUUUCCACCCUAAAAACAAAACAUACUCAUUAAAAAAUAAAUAAAAGGCUUCACUUUUAAAAUAUGAACAGAUGUCAGGACCACAGUAAGUAGUUUCUCCACUUUCCUGUGCUUAUAAGAUAGCCCAGCUGAGGAUGUAUCUAUCUUCAGACCACUGGAGAGAUGGUGAUUUGAAGAAUGAAGGAAAAGGCACUAACAAAGAUCCGUCUGCCAGCGUGAAAGUAAUGUAAGUGCAGGUGCCGAAAUCCCAAGGGAGCAGAAAAAGACUAUUUAUGUAUGCGACCAUGGCUGCAUGGUUGUUAUUAGGCCAGAGAUAGAAAGAAGAUAAAGUUCCUACCAGAGAAGAAUGGCAGAUGAAGCUGAUCGACUAUGCUGAAAUGGCUAAAAUGGCCGGAAGAGUCAGAAAUCAGGAAAACCAAAAUUUUAACAAGGAAUGGGAAAAAUCUAUAACUUAUCUUAAAGACCAUUGUAAACAGUUAAAAUUGUUAGUAGGAUUGAAAUAUCACUUGUAGUUUAAGGCUGAACUCUGGACACAAUGGAGAUGUAAAGGAUUUCGAUUAUCAUAAAAGAUGCAGGAGGAAAUGAUUAAUAAUAACAAAGGGGAAGAUGGAAGUCCAGGAAAUUCCUUGGAAUCUUGUCUUUAUGAUUUAUGUUUGAUACAUCUCUGGGAAUUUUUAAUUUGAAAAACCAAAUAAAUAAAUUAAUAUAUAAAAAAGUAAUGUAAAUGCAACAAAACCCUACCCAUGAGAAUUUUGCCAAAAUGUUCUUUCCCCAAAAUUUCAAAUUCAAUUUCUUUUCUCAUGAAUUGAUGGAGAAUGGUAGAAAAAUAAAGAUGUAAAAGGCCAGGAGAAAUUUUCAGCAUGACACCAUUCAAUACCAGACAUUUAUUGCUUAUCUUUUUAAAAUGUCCAGACUCUGUUAUUGUUUUACUUAUUUUUUUACUUCCAAAUGUAAAAAAAUCUCAAGUUAGCUCCUCAAAAGACCCAAUAGACAAAAAAGGGAGACCUUAAAAGCAUGAUGGAUUUGACCUUUUUAUUUAUCUAAUAGCUGCUUGAUUUUUAGAUCAUACUAUCGACUUGUUUUCAAAUUUAUUUUUUCCCAUCUGUGAGGCCAAGAAGGCUUAUUUUAAAAUAAAACAAAAACUCAGGAUUCCAGCAAGAAUUUGUGGGUUAUAGAAAAACCUCAGUACUGCAUGUAGAUGAAGGUCCUUGAGAAACAGCCACCCAUAGGCAUGGGACUACAGGUAAGGGCUAUAUUGACAUUUCUAUACUUAUAAUUGCUUACAGUUCAUAUCUGCUGUAGUUUCAAGGGUCCCUAUUGUCAACAAAAGACUUUAAGUAUUUGGAAAAGAGGAUGCGUAGUGGAAUAUUUGCUGCAUCAGUUAUUUGAUGUCAAAUUCCUGUGUUUUGAGAACAAAAGUCCAAGAACAAUUAUUGCUGUUGUACCAGAGAGGAUGCAAAUUUGAUGAUCUCCAAGCUUCUGCAUUCUUACUUUCCUGUGGUUCUUCUGUUGAGAUUUCAAAGGCAUGGAACACAAUAAACAGCUUGUAGAGUGAAGGACAAGGCAAUGUUUGAUAGCAUUGCUUUGAUAUUAAGUGGCUGUUACGUUCAGGAGCUACAGUUCAGUGUCAGGUGCAAUUAUUCAUGAACAACUAGCCUGGAUAAUACUUUUGAUUCAAGCAACUAGCCUGAGUAAUACUUUCAAUCUAAUUCUGGGAGUCUUCUGCCAGCAGCAAUUCCACUGAAAUUAAUGGGAUUAAUAUCAGUGGAAUAGUUAGAAAAUAAAGAUCUAGUGAAGGACUUUGCACAUAUCAUGUGAAUUGUGCCUUGCUGUGAAAAGGUUUUUGUGUGCCGAUUUCUUGGAAUUGUUACCAGGGUAAAAAAUAAAUAAAUUGAUUGCUUAUAGCUGUAGACAGGGUUAAUUUUGGCAUAGUGGAAAUGGGUACCAAACAUGCAUGGAAAUGGAUACCUAACACUAUUGUAUUGAGAAAUGUGUGUAUUUGCUGCACAAAUAGGGUAAAAUCUGACACUUAAACUGCAUGCAUCUGAAAAGUCACAUAGAUCUGGGAUUGAUUGGAGUUUGGGUCCAGAAACAACUGAGGACCACAGGUUCUCCACCUGUGACAUAGUGGGCUAGAUUGAACUAACCCAGUGCACGAGUGGAAGCCAGAGCAAAGACUCCCAACAGUGCAACAGGGCUCCCCCCCCUUCUUGCAUGUCCUUGGUGCCUCUCUCAAAUCCACCCACGUGGGUUGGCAGAACCCGCAGAACAGAAUGCAGUGGAGUGGGGGAGGGGGAGAGUGGAGAUGGUUCCACUGGGUAAAUAAAAUGGUGACAUAUCAAUCUCUCCUAGGAAGAAACAAAAAUCAAAUGCAUUCCACAUUGUUGAUGGGCCGAAGCCACAGUCCCAAGGGACUGCACAAGAAAAGAAAGGCCACAGAAAGGAGAAUGGCCACAGAGAGCUGAAAGAAGGACAUACAGUGGUACCUCAGGUUACAAACACCACGGGUUACAAACACUUUGGGUUACAGACUCCGCUAACCCGGAAGUAGUACCUCGGGUGAAUAACUUUACCUCAGGAUGAGAACAGAAAUCGCGUGUCAGCAGCGCAACAGCAGUGUGAGCAGUUUCAAGAACAGACCUCCAGAACAAAUUAAGUUCAUAACCAGAGGAACCACUGUAAUCAAACUAAGGGCAUGUUCUACUCUAAAAUACAAGGCAAAAGGCAAACUGGGCUCCAAAGGCUUCAGAAUGAGCAGGAAUCCUGUUGGAAAACUUGGAGCUAAGC